rnacentral:rRNA from 1 species
CACGAUAUGCGGUUCUCAGCAGGCAUCUAACGAGAACGAAAUGUGAAGGAGAAGGAUGGGGAUGCGUCUGAUUAGCUUGUUGCGGGUAACGGCCCACCAAGGCGACGAUCAGUAGGGGUUCUGAGAGGAAGGUCCCCCACAUUGGAACUGAGACACGGUCCAAACUCCUACGGGAGGCAGCAGUGAGGAAUAUUGGUCAAUGGACGGGAGUCUGAACCAGCCAAGUAGCGUGCAGGAUGACGGCCCUAUGGGUUGUAAACUGCUUUUAUAGGGGGAUAAAGUGUGCCACGUGUGGCAUAUUGCAGGUACCCUAUGAAUAAGGACCGGCUAAUUCCGUG